CCUACGGGAGGCAGCAGUGGGGAAUAUUGGGCAAUGGGCGCAAGCCUGACCCAGCAACGCCGCGUGAAGGAAGAAGGCUUUCGGGUUGUAAACUUCUUUUCUGGGGGACGAACAAAUGACGGUACCCCAGGGAUAAGCCACGGCUAACUACGUGCCAGCAGCCGCGGUAAUACGUAGGUGGCAAGCGUUCUCCGUAUUUAUUGGGUGUAAAGGGCGUGUAGGCGGGAAUGCAAGUCAGAUGUGAAAGCUCAGGGCUCAACCCUGGGCCUGCAUUUGAAACUGUGUUUCGUGAGUGCUGGAGAGGCAAUCGGAAUUCCGUGUGUAGCGGUGAAAUGCGUAGAUAUAGGGAGGAACACCAGUGGCGAAGGCGGAUUGCUGGACAGUAACUGACGCUGAGGCGCGAAAGCGUGGGGAGCAAACAGGAUUAGAUACCCCUGUAGUC
rnacentral:rRNA from 1 species